CUCACAUUCGUGGGAUUUUCACAGGUUGCCAGCUGAUCUUUUCAGAUAGCCACAUUCUGAAUGUUUAAACUGCUGCAAGUAAAGGGCAUUUGAAGACUUCAGCUGGAAGCUAGGACACACAGCCCAUCAAUGACGACUAAAUUGCAAGCCAACAACCAGCCUGGAAUCCACCCAAAGAUUUGGCUUUCUAUCAGCGUUUAUGAAUGCCGCCUGCCCUGCCGCCUCCUUGUUCUUGACCCCUGCGUCUCAAAUGACUUCUCUCACUACCUGGAACUUCAGGAUCAC
rnacentral:lncRNA from 1 species